CAUUAAGCUAUGAAGAAGAAGAGUACCUGUUUUUAGAUGCCCAGAGAGAAGAUGGCCGGUGAAAAUCUUCGUGAAGAAAACAGGGAAGCCGUUUCUGAGCUGUUAGCCGAAAAGACAUCUGUCCAGUAAGCUUUACCGGAGUUCCGGCCGUUAUAGCGGAAGCGGCAUUUUAUGCCGUCAGAGAGCAGAGUAACCUCUGAAUUUAGGUGGUAACACGGAUUUGCCAAUUCGCCCUAAGC
rnacentral:ncRNA from 1 species